CUGCUGUGUUCGUAGCUUCUAUAAAUCUCCCACCAUGGGUGCACCUUGUGUUUAUGAGGCGGGUUUGGGGUUCGUUGAGUGUCAUUUGCAGUCCUGUCAAGAACUACAAUAAAAAGCCGUUUUCCGUUCCGCCAGUGAAAUAACUUGUUUGGCUGUGGUUUCAUUCAUCUGAGCUGCCAUCUGAACCACUUCAGGAACUGAUGACUAGGGCCCGCCUGACUAAGAGAAUCUACCUGAUAUUACUGAGUCUUUUUUCAGAAUGACAGGAGAACCUCCAGCUAGAAGAGUGAUAAAGGGCGGUUCACAGAAAAUAAAACCAUCCUCUGCUGGGAAGCUGCCUGCGUCUCCUUCAGGAUGCGCUUGCUGAUGAGGUCAGUCUGUGACUGUCACUGUAGCCACUCAGUCUCAGAUGUCACUCAGUCUCUAUGAAAGCCAAGAUGACUCGUAUU